UGUAUUCAAAAGAAAUAGAACGAAUCGGAUGAUAUGGUUAUUUUUGGUACAAAUAUCAGAAUCCGUUUCAAUACAUUUGUUAUUUAGAUAUUUUUAGGUUUUUAUACAUAAGAACCGAACUCAAUCAGAUCCUGAAGGAUCCAACUCAAAAUCCACACAUAAAUUUAUAAUAUUCGAACGAGCCUAAUUUUAAAACAAAGAAAACGAUACCCGAG
rnacentral:lncRNA from 1 species